GGUUAACGCUGGCGGCGCGCAUAACACAUGCAAGUCGAGCGAGGGCUUAUUUCUCGCAAGAGAGAUAAGUUCCUAGCGGCGAACGGGUGAGUAACACGUGGGCAACCUUUCCUAUCGCGGGGGAUAACACCGGGAAACCGAUGCUAAUACCGCAUGUCGUCACCGGUCGCAUGGCUGGUGAAGAAAGCAGCAAUGCACAAUGGGGUGGGCCCGCGGCCUAUCAGCUAGUCGGUGGGGUAACGGCCUACCGAGGCGAUGACGGGUAGCUGGUCUGAGAGGACGGCUAGCCACACGGGGACUGAGACACGGCCCCGACUCCUACGGGAGGCAGCAGUGAGGAAUCUUCCGCAAUGGGCGAAAGCCUGACGGAGCGACGCCGCGUGUGGGAUGAAGUCUUUCGGGAUGUAAACCACUGUCGGAGGGGAAGACAUCGACGGUACCCUCCAAGAAAGCCCCGGCUAACUACGUGCCAGCAGCCGCGGUAAUACGUAGGGGGCAAGCGUUAUCCAGAUUUACUGGGCGUAAAGCGCGUGUAGGCGGCUGGUUAGGUGUGAUGUGAAAUCUUCCGGCUCAACCGGAAAACUGCAUUGCAAACCGGCCUGGCUAGAGUGCAGGAGAGGGAAGCGGAAUUCCAGGUGUAGCGGUGAAAUGCGUAGAUAUCUGGAGGAACACCAGUGGCGAAGGCGGCUUCCUGGCCUGCAACUGACGCUGAGACGCGAAAGCGUGGGGAGCGAACCGGAUUAGAUACCCGGGUAGUCCACGCCCUAAACGUUGUGAACUAGGUGUUGGUCGGAUUGACCCGAUCAGUGCCGCAGCUAACGCAUUAAGUUCACCGCCUGGGGACUACGGCCGCAGGGUUUAAAACUCAAGGAAUAGGCGGGGGCCCNCACAAGCAGCGGAACGUGUGGUUUA
rnacentral:rRNA from 1 species